UCGUCUCUCAUAAAGGAUCUCUCGCUUCUUGGCUUAUUAGCAUCGCUCGUAACCUAAGUAUACGGAUCGAACAAUCUGCUUCGCUGUGCUUAUUGUUUCGUCUUAUUGUUAAAGGUGCUGUCUAAUAAUUUGCCGUGUGCCUGUUCAAUCCUCUGCUAAGAGCAAUCUCUGGGGGAGCAUUCGAUCAACUUUGUCCUAUCAAAUGCAUCCGCUCAACCGCACCAGAUCAACCUUUAAAUUGAACAUCGAAUAUUAUGCCGCUAUGCCAUGAACUCGCUUGUUUGCUUUCCGCUUCCCUCCGUGCGUGUAGCGUUCUACCCGUGCGUGUAAAGUGUAUGUGUGUACAGUGGUGACGUGUGCCUUAAAGUGUAGUUAGCCUGCCAAACGUUGUUUUUUUUCUUUACUAAUUUUACAAAUUUUUAUUAUGGAUAUGCAUAAAAAUUAAUAUAAUAAGCUUAUAAAUCGAUAACAUCCUAAUUUUAAACCCGAUCAGCUAAAUUAGCAUUAUUAUAGAAAUGUUGAUGCAUAUCCAU